rnacentral:rRNA from 1 species
UACGUAGGCAGCAAGCGUUGUUCGGAAUUACUGGGCGUAAAGAGUGUGUAGGCGGCGCUCUAAGUUCGGUGUGAAAUCUCCCGGCUUAACUGGGAGGGUGCGCCGGAAACUGGAGUGCUCGAGCGUGGGAGAGGAAAGCGGAAGUUCCUGGUGUAGCGGUGAAAUGCGUAGAUAUCAGGAGGAACACCUGCGGUGUAGACGGCUUUCUGGACCAUUGCUGACGCUGAGACACGAAAGCGUGGGUAGCAAACAGG